AGGGUUUGAUCAUGGCUCAGGAUGAACGUUGGCGGCGUGCCUAACACAUGCAAGUCGAACGAUCCUUCGGGAUAGUGGCGCACGGGUGAGGAACACGUAGCUGAUCGGCCCUUCAGUGCGGGAUAACUCCUCGAAAGAGGCGCUAAUACCGCAUAAGCUCACGGUCGCUAGGGGACAGUGAGAAAAGGUUUACUGCUGAAGGACGAGGCUGCGGCCCAUCAGCUAGAUGGUGCGGUAACGGCGUACCAUGGCGACGACGGGUAGGGGACCUGAGAGGGUGACCCCCCACACUGGGACUGAGACACGGCCCAGACUCCUACGGGAGGCAGCAGUGAGGGAUAUUGCACAAUGGGGGAAACCCUGAUGCAGCGACGCCGCGUGAGUGAAGAAGGCCUUCGGGUCGUAAAGCUCUUUUCUGCGUGACGAGCAAGGACGGUAGCGCAGGAAUAAGUCUCGGCUAACUACGUGCCAGCAGCCGCGGUAAAACGUAGGAGACAAACGUUAUCCGGAGUUACUGGGCGUAAAGGGCGUGCAGGCGGUUGCUUAAGUUCGGCGUGAAAGCUCCUGGCUAAACCGGGAGAGGUCGUCGGAAACUGGGUGACUAGAGGGUGAUAGAGGCGGGUGGAAUUCCGGGUGUAGUGGUGAAAUGCGUAGAGAUCCGGAGGAACACCAGUGGCGAAGGCGACCCGCUGGGUCACACCUGACGCUGAGACGCGACAGCAUGGGGAGCGAACGGGAUUAGAAACCCCGGUAGUCCAUGCCGUAAACGAUGCCAGCUCGAUGUCUGGGACGGGAAACCGUUCUGGGU
rnacentral:rRNA from 1 species